rnacentral:rRNA from 1 species
AACGCGAAGAACCUUACCUACCCUUGACAUCCUCGGAAUCUCACAGAGAUGUGGGAGUGCCUUCGGGAACCGAGAGACAGGUGCUGCAUGGCUGUCGUCAGCUCGUGUUGUGAGAUGUUGGGUUAAGUCCCGUAACGAGCGCAACCCCUGUUCCUAGUUGCCAGCGAGUAAAGUCGGGAACUCUAGGGAGACUGCCGGUGACAAACCGGAGGAAGGUGGGGAUGACGUCAAGUCAUCAUGGCCUUUAUGGGUAGGGCCACACACGUGCUACAAUGGUCAGUACAAAGGGAAGCCAACCAGCGAUGGGGAGCAAAUCUCAUAAAACUGAUCGUAGUCCGGAUUGGAGUCUGCAACUCGACUCCAUGAAGUUGGAAUCGCUAGUAAUCGCGGAUCAGAACGCCGCGGUGAAUACGUUCCCGGGCCUUGUACACACCGGUACUA